rnacentral:lncRNA from 1 species
UGGAGUUGUUGGUUUGGUAGAAGCAGGCACAGAAACCCUUUUUCUCUGGUGUCUUGUUAACACCCCUUGGUUAGCGUGAGAUGCUUCUUGUCCUCCUUCUUUCAGUUGUCAUGGCUACUGAGUAUAUGUUCAGUGACCAACACUAAGAUUUGGUUCAAUAGAAUAUCUGUUUCCAACACCCUGUCUCUCACCUGCUUCUCUGCUGUAGAGGUUGGGAGGGAUAUGUAGCCACUUCCCCAGACUCUCUUACAGAUUGACCGUAUGCCCUGGUUCUGUCUAAUGAAAUAUAACUGAAGAUACAGUGGGUGAUUGGGGGGAGGUUUAAAGUUUUCAUUUUACUGAAAGGAAUAAGACUGGCAUCACCUCUUCCUUGCGUUCCUACCUUAAUGCUAAUGUGAUGUUUGAGCUGCAGCAGCCACCCGAUGACCAUGAGGAAAGGCGGACAGGGGAGAGAUCCACCAUGCUAGAGAUGAUGAAGUAAGAAGUAUGACAUCAUCAAACACAUGAACUGGUGCUACUGUUAGAUUUAUGACUGGUAAGCAAAAUUACCUCAUAUCUCUUAGCUA